rnacentral:rRNA from 1 species
UACGGAGGGUGCAAGCGUUAUCCGGAUUCACUGGGUUUAAAGGGUGCGUAGGCGGAUAGGUAAGUCCGUGGUGAAAUCCUGCAGCUUAACUGCAGAACUGCCGUGGAUACUAUCUAUCUUGAAUGUCGUGGAGGUUAGCGGAAUAUGUCAUGUAGCGGUGAAAUGCUUAGAUAUGACAUAGAACACCCAUUGCGAAGGCAGCUAACUACGCGAUAAUUGACGCUGAUGCACGAAAGCGUGGGGAUCAAACAGG